rnacentral:rRNA from 1 species
CCUACGGGUGGCUGCAGUGGGGAAUAUUGGACAAUGGGCGAAAGCCUGAUCCAGCCAUGCCGCGUGUGUGAAGAAGGCCUUCGGGUUGUAAAGCACUUUCAGUGGGGAAGAAAGCCUUGGGGCUAAUACCCUCGAGGAAGGACAUCACCCACAGAAGAAGCACCGGCUAACUCCGUGCCAGCAGCCGCGGUAAUACGGAGGGUGCGAGCGUUAAUCGGAAUUACUGGGCGUAAAGCGCGCGUAGUCGGUCUGAUAAGCCGGUUGUGAAAGCCCCGGGCUCAACCUGGGAACGGCAUCCGGAACUGUCAGGCUAGAGUGCAGGAGAGGAAGGUAGAAUUCCCGGUGUAGCGGUGAAAUGCGUAGAGAUCGGGAGGAAUACCAGUGGCGAAGGCGGCCUUCUGGACUGACACUGACGCUGAGGUGCGAAAGCGUGGGUAGCAAACAGGAUUAGAUACCCGAGUAGUC